AACGAACGCUGGCGGCAGGCUUAACACAUGCAAGUCGAACGCCCCGCAAGGGGAGUGGCAGACGGGUGAGUAACACGUGGGAACCUUCCUCGUUGUACGGAACAACUCAGGGAAACUUGAGCUAAUACCGUAUACGUCCGAGAGGAGAAAGAUUUAUCGCAAUGAGACGGGCCCGCGUCGGAUUAGCUAGUUGGUGGGGUAACGGCCUACCAAGGCGACGAUCCGUAGCUGAUCUGAGAGGGUGAUCAGCCACACUGGGACUGAGACACGGCCCAGACUCCUACGGGAGGCAGCAGUGGGGAAUCUUGGACAAUGGGCGCAAGCCUGAUCCAGCCAUGCCGCGUGAGUGAAGAAGGCCUUCGGGUUGUAAAGCUCUUUUGUCAGGGACGAUAAUGACGGUACCUGAAGAAUAAGCCCCGGCAAACUUCGUGCCAGCAGCCGCCGUAACAC
rnacentral:rRNA from 1 species